GAUGAACGCUGGCGGCGUGCCUAAUACAUGCAAGUCGAGCGAACAGACGAGGAGCUUGCUCCUCUGACGUUAGCGGCGGACGGGUGAGUAACACGUGGAUAACCUACCUAUAAGACUGGGAUAACUUCGGGAAACCGGAGCUAAUACCGGAUAAUAUAUUGAACCGCAUGGUUCAAUAGUGAAAGACGGUUUUGCUGUCACUUAUAGAUGGAUCCGCGCCGCAUUAGCUAGUUGGUAAGGUAACGGCUUACCAAGGCGACGAUGCGUAGCCGACCUGAGAGGGUGAUCGGCCCAACUGGAACUGGGACACGGUCCAGACUCCUACGGGAGGCAGCAGUAGGGAAUCUUCCGCAAUGGGCGAAAGCCUGACGGAGCAACGCCGCGUGAGUGAUGAAGGUCUUCGGAUCGUAAAACUCUGUUAUUAGGGAAGAACAAAUGUGUAAGUAACUAUGCACGUCUUGACGGUACCUAAUCAGAAAGCCACGGCUAACUACGUG
rnacentral:rRNA from 1 species